rnacentral:rRNA from 1 species
UAUUUUGUUGGUUUCUAGGAUCNNNGUAAUGAUUAAUAGGGAUAGUUGGGGGCAUUAGUAUUCAAUUGUCAGAGGUGAAAUUCUUGGAUUUAUUGAAGACUAACNNNUGCGAAAGCAUUUGCCAAGGAUGUUUUCAUUAAUCAAGAACGAAAGUUAGGGGAUCGAAGACGAUCAGAUACCGUCGUAGUCUUAACCAUAAACUAUGCCGACUAGGGAUCGGAUGA